rnacentral:rRNA from 1 species
CCUACGGGUGGCAGCAGUGGGGAAUAUUGGGCAAUGGGCGCAAGCCUGACCCAGCAACGCCGCGUGAAGGUAGAAGGCUUUCGGGUUGUAAACUUCUUUUGUCAGGGAAGAGUAGAAGACGGUACCUGACGAAUAAGAGACGGCUAACUAUGGGCAAGCAGCCGCGGUAUUCCGGAGGUGGCAGGCAUUGUCCGGAUUUACUGGGUGUAAAGGGCGUGUAGCCGGGUUGACAAGUCAGAUGGUAAGUCCUGCGGCUUAACGGAUGAACUGCAUUUGAAACUGUUUUGCUUGAGUACUGGUGAGGCAGAUGGAAUGCCUGGUGUAGCGGUGAAAUGCGUAGAUAUUA